GAUGAACGCUGGCGGCGUGCUUAACACAUGCAAGUCGAACGAGAAAUGGAGACGGACACCUUCGGGCGGAAGGCUUCAUUUCGAGUGGCGGAAGGGAGAUUAACGCGUGGGGAACCUGCCGUAUACAGGGGGAUAAUAGUUGGAAACGACUGCUAAUACCGCAUAAGACCACAGCACCGCAUGGUGCGGGGGAAAAAACCCCGGUGGGGUGAGAUGGACCCGCGUUCGAUUAGCCAGUUGGCGGGGUAACGGCCCACCAAAGUGAAGCUCGAAAGCUGAACUGAGAGGAUGACCGGCCACCUUGGGAGUGAGACACGGCCCAAACUACUGCGGGAGGCAGCAGUGGCGAAUAUUGCACAGUGGGGGAAACGCUGAUGCAGCUACGCCGCGUGAGUGAAGAAGUACUUCGGUAUGUAAAGCUCGAUCAGAAGGUAAGAAAAUGACGUUACCUGAGGAAGAAGCCCCGGCUAACUACGUG
rnacentral:rRNA from 1 species